rnacentral:rRNA from 1 species
UACAGGGGGGGCAAGCGUUGUUCGGAAUUACUGGGCGUAAAGGGUCAGUAGGCGGCCAACUAAGUCCGACGUGAAAUCCCAAAGCUUAACUUUGGAACUGCGUCGGAUACUGGAUGGCUUGAAUUCGGGAGAGGGAUGCAGAAUUCCAGGUGUAGCGGUGAAAUGCGUAGAUAUCUGGAGGAACACCGGUGGCGAAGGCGGCAUCCUGGACCGGUAUUGACGCUGAGGCGCGAAAGCCAGGGGAGCAAACGGG